GAAGACUCGGGAUGGGGGCAGAAGUAAGGGAGGACUGGACUAGUGACGUUCCUUUUCCCCUAAGCAGCGAACCCCCAUUCUCAGAUUUAAUUAUUCCCAAAGGAACACACACCUCCCCUUAGACCUUUCGGUGACCACAGUGGCUGGGACCCUGGACGGCAAAGACCUGAAGGGUUUCUCCUCAACUCUGGCAGAGCCUGCUGAUGAGGUCUGAGCCCCAUCAGUGUCUGUGUCACCUCCGGGAAUGCCCCGGCUUCACCUCAGUACCAGCAGUACCAGCCUCGGUUCCUUCACCUGGCUUCCAGCAGGGGACCCCUCAGGAAGCCUCAGUUGUAGGGCCAAAACCUGUUUUGUUGACCCACCUCUGAGACUCAGAAAAACUGAAUGACUUGUCUACAGUCAGUGAAAGAUCCAGGUCUUUCAGAGGCAGCCAGGUAAGGGGACUCGGGCUUCAUGCUGGCUCUGCUCCUCUCUUGGGCAGGUUGCCUCAGAGCCUCAGUGUCCUUGUGCGUAAGAUGGGAACACUGAUGUCUGUCUCACAGGGUUCUUGUGAGAUUUAGAAAUUGUAAGUCCCUAGUGACUCGCACAGAUAGAUGCUUAAAACAUGGGAGCUAUCAUUCAGUCUGGGGCUUUCCACUGACCUAUGCUAGAGAGUGGGUUCUGCAGUGUUUUUGUAUCGGCCUAG
rnacentral:lncRNA from 1 species